rnacentral:rRNA from 1 species
UACGGAGGGGACUAGCGUUGUUCGGAAUUACUGGGCGUAAAGGGCGCGUAGGCGGCCUUCUAAGUCGGACGUGAAAUCCCCGGGCUCAACCCGGGAACUGCGUCCGAUACUGGAAGGCUUGAAUCCGGGAGAGGGAUGCGGAAUUCCAGGUGUAGCGGUGAAAUGCGUAGAUAUCUGGAGGAACACCGGUGGCGAAGGCGGCAUCCUGGACCGGCAUUGACGCUGAGGCGCGAAAGCCAGGGGAGCAAACGGG